rnacentral:rRNA from 1 species
AAUCAACGCUGGCGGCGUGCCUCAGACAUGCAAGUCGAACGAUUAAAGCUCCCUUCGGGGAGUGCAUAAAGUGGCGCACGGGUGAGUAACACGUAAGUAAUCUACCCUCGGGUGGGGAAUAACAUCGGGAAACCGAUGCUAAUACCGCAUAAUGCAGCGGCACCGCAAGGUGACAGUUGUUAAAGAUUUAUUGCCUGGGGAGGAGCUUGCGGCAGAUUAGCUUGUUGGAAGGUAACGGCUUACCAAGGCUACGAUCUGUAUCCGGUCUAAGAGGACGGUCGGACACACUGACACUGAAUAACGGGUCAGGACUCCUACGGGAGGCAGCAGUCGGGAAUUUUGGGCAAUGGGGGAAACCCUGACCCAGCAACGCCGCGUGAA